GAUGAACGCUGGCGGUAUGCUUAACACAUGCAAGUCGAACGGACUCUUCGGAGUUAGUGGCGGACGGGUGAGUAACGCGUGAGAAUCUGGCUUUGGGUUCGGGACAACCACUGGAAACGGUGGCUAAUACCGGAUGUGCCGAGAGGUAAAAGAGAAAUUGCCUGAAGAUGAGCUCGCGUCUGAUUAGCUAGUUGGUGAGGUAAAGGCUCACCAAGGCAGCGAUCAGUAGCUGGUCUGAGAGGAUGACCAGCCACACUGGGACUGAGACACGGCCCAGACUCCUACGGGAGGCAGCAGUGGGGAAUUUUCCGCAAUGGGCGAAAGCCUGACGGAGCAAUACCGCGUGAGGGAAGAAGGCUCUUGGGUUGUAAACCUCUUUUCUUAGGGAAGAGCAAAAUGACGGUACCUAAGGAAUCAGCAUCGGCUAACUCCGU
rnacentral:rRNA from 1 species